rnacentral:rRNA from 1 species
AGUGAACGCUGGCGGUAGGCCUAACACAUGCAAGUCGAACGGCAGCACAGUAAGAGCUUGCUCUUACGGGUGGCGAGUGGCGGACGGGUGAGGAAUACAUCGGAAUCUACUUUUUCGUGGGGGAUAACGUAGGGAAACUUACGCUAAUACCGCAUACGACCUACGGGUGAAAGCAGGGGAUCUUCGGACCUUGCGCGAUUGAAUGAGCCGAUGUCGGAUUAGCUAGUUGGCGGGGUAAAGGCCCACCAAGGCGACGAUCCGUAGCUGGUCUGAGAGGAUGAUCAGCCACAGUGGAACUGAGACACGGUCCAGACGCCUACGGGAGGCAGCAGUGGGGAAUAUUGGACAAUGGGCGCAAGCCUGAUCCAGCCGUACCGCGUGGGUGAAGAAAGCCUUCGGGUUGUAAAGCCCUUUUGUUGGGAAAGAAAAGCAGCAGGUUAAUACCCCGCUGUUCUGACGGUACCCAAAGAAUAAGCACCGGCUAACUUCGUG